GCGCACCAGGCGCGAAACCUCCGCAAUACACGAAAGUGUGACGGGGCCAUCCCGAGUGCCGUCCGCUGAGGACGGCUUUUCCCCAGUGUACACAGCUGGGGGAGUAAGGAGAGGGCAAGCCUGGUGUCAGCCGCCGCGGUAAUACCAGCUCUCCGAGUGGUGGGGACGCUUAUUGGGCCUAAAGCAUCCGUAGCCGGCUGGGCAAGUCCUCCGUUAAAUCCAACGAUUCAAUCGUUGGGCUGCGGGGGAUACUGUCCAGCUUGGGGGCGGGAGAGGCCGACGGUAUUCCCGGGGUAGGGGUGAAAUCCUAUAAUCCCGGGAGGACCACCAGUGGCGAAGGCUGUCGGCUAGAACGCGCCCGACGGUGAGGGAUGAAAGCUGGGGGAGCGAACCGGAUUAGAUACCC
rnacentral:rRNA from 1 species